UCGAAAGAUUGAUCUAGAAGCUUUGACAGAGUUUUAGCUCUUUAUGUCUGCCACAUUGACUUUCUGAUGAAUAAAGGAAAAAAUCGUAGGUGAUAAGGUGACGUUUGCAGAGCGGCGUCUAUUAAAUAUCAUACCUUUAUGUUUGAAGCUGAGACCGGCGAUAGUUUUAGUAAGGGAGGGCUCCUGCAGAGAUCAAUUCACGGACGCUAAUGUUGCCUUGAAUUAUAGUAUGAUAACCGACAGAGUGACGUUUGCAGAGCGGCGUCUAUUGAAUAUCAUACCUUUAUGUUUGAAGCUGAGACCGGCGAUAUUCCUAAGUAAUACGGCAGAUGAAGACACAAGUUUUAGUAAGGGAGGGCUCCUGCAGAGAUCAAUUCACGGACGCUAAUGUUGCCUUGAAUUAUAGUAUGAUAACCGACAGAGAUCAAGUCAAAGUCAGGCCUGCAGCGACGAGCCCCUUUCUUUCGGAUUGUGAAGUGUAAUGUUAAUGUUUAAUGUAGCUGUUUAACGUCGAAAAUUGUUAGUUUGUAAUUGUUUUUGAGAAGCAAAAUAAUUAAUCUGAGAAGUGUUUC